AUAAGGCUGAGGUUUGCAUUAGUGAAACGGCCUUCUUGGUCGAAAGCUCGGAUUGUUGCUGCUCCCGUUAGUGAUUCUGCAAAGUGGUGGAGAAUUGGUGCUCUUUUAAUCCCAGCAAGGCGGGCCAGUUCUCUUGCAGUUGAUUGCUGUAACUGGAAUGAAGACCGCAAACACUUGCCAUGCUACCUGUGACAUCACAGCGAUAGUCCCCAAAAUCCGUAUUAUUGAAAAUGCGCACCAACCUAAUUUGCCUGCUAUUUCCAAGUCUAGCACACUUUGAUCUGUAGAAGCCUGCAAUUACAUAAAAAGGAUAUUAGGUCAUAUGCAGUAAUAUGUAGUCAAUGAUCUCUAAGAGAUGGAUAUCUGACAU